ACUCCUACGGGAGGCAGCAGUGGGGAAUAUUGCGCAAUGGGGGAAACCCUGACGCAGCGACGCCGCGUGAGUGAAGAAGGUCUUCGGAUCGUAAAACUCUGUCCUUGGGGAAGAAAAGGACGGUAGCCAAGGAGGAAGCCCCGGCUAACUACCUGCCAGCAGCCGCGGUAAUA
rnacentral:rRNA from 1 species